GGAUAACCUACCCUUAGGACUGGGAUAACCCUGGGAAACUGGGGAUAAUACUAGAUAGGCAAUUUUUCCUGGAAUGGUUUUUUGUUUAAAUGUUUUUUCGCCUAAGGAUGGGUCUGCGGCCGAUUAGGUAGUUGGUUAGGUAAUGGCUUACCAAGCCGUUGAUCGGUACGGGUUGUGAGAGCAAGAGCCCGGAGAUGGAACCUGAGACAAGGUUCCAGGCCCUACGGGGUGCAGCAGGCGCGAAACCUCCGCAAUGUGAGAAAUCGCGACGGGGGGAUCCCAAGUGCCAUUCUUAACGGGAUGGCUUUUCAUUAGUGUAAAGAGCUUUUGGAAUAAGAGCUGGGCAAGACCGGUGCCAGCCGCCGCGGUAACACCGGCAGCUCUAGUGGUAGCAAUUUUUAUUGGGCCUAAAGCGUCCGUAGCCGGUUUAAUAAGUCUCUGGUGAAAUCCUGCAGCUUAACUGUGGGAAUUGCUGGAGAUACUAUUAGACUUGAGACCGGGAGAGGUUAGAGGUACUCCCAGGGUAGAGGUGAAAUUCUGUAAUCCUGGGAGGACCGCCUGUUGCGAAGGCGUCUAGCUGGAACGGUUCUGACGGUGAGGGACGAAAGUUAGGGGCGCGAACCGGAUUAGAUACCCGGGUAGUCCUAACUGUAAACGAUGCGGACUUGGUGUUGGGGUGGCUUUGAGCUGCUUCAGUGCCGAAGGGAAGCUGUUAAGUCCGCUGCCUGGGAAGUACGGUCGCAAGACUGAAACUUAA
rnacentral:rRNA from 1 species